rnacentral:lncRNA from 1 species
UUUUAGGUCAUUAAACACAUUUCCUUUCAAUUUACAUCAGACAUAAGUGGCCUAAAAUCACAAGGGUAGAAAAGCUCAAGUUAGGAAAUUGUAUUUCUUUCAAGUUGAUUUUAUUCAUUUAGCUUAUUUUUUUGCAUGUCUUUUAGCUUGUUCACAUUUUGCUCAGAAUAGGAAAAUUUGAAGGAAAGGUUUUCUGGCUUCUGUAGAAUCAUGAAAGAACUUUAUUUUGGAAUUACCUGACAGAUGAACAGAGAAUAUCUUCAGUUCGCCCAAAUUCUUUAUUAAACAAUAUUAUAAGUGACAAUCUGUUUCCCCAGCUCUUAUCUGAGUACUUUGCUUAAAGAAACAAAUAAACACCCUGACAGUUGACUGACAGGAAAUAUGUUUUGUUUCUUUUUUUAUUCCAGCUUCAUUAUUUGCCAUG